GAUGAACGCUAGCGGCAGGCCUAACACAUGCAAGUCGAGGGGUAGAAGGAGCUUGCUCCUUUGAGACCGGCGCACGGGUGCGUAACGCGUAUGCAAUCUACCUUGUACAGGGGAAUAGCCCAGAGAAAUUUGGAUUAAUGCCCCAUAGUAUAUAACCUUCGCAUGUUGGUUAUAUUAAAGUUCCAACGGUACAAGAUGAGCAUGCGUCCCAUUAGUUAGUUGGUAAGGUAACGGCUUACCAAGACGAUGAUGGGGAGGGGUCCUGAGAGGGAGAUCCCCCACACUGGUAACGAGACACGGACCAGAAUCCUACGGGAGACAGCAGUGUGGAAUAUUGGUGAAUGGUCGCAAGACUGAACAAGCCAUGCCGCGUGCAGGAAGACGGUCCUAUGGAUUGUAAACUGCUUUUAUACAAGAAGAAACCCUCCCACGUGUGGGAGCUUGACGGUACUGUAAGAAUAAGGAUCGGCUAACUCCGUG
rnacentral:rRNA from 1 species